rnacentral:rRNA from 1 species
AGAGUUUGAUCAUGGCUCAGAUUGAACGCUGGCGGCAGGCCUAACACAUGCAAGUCGAGCGGUAGCACAGAGAGCUUGCUCUCGGGUGACGAGCGGCGGACGGGUGAGUAAUGUCUGGGAAACUGCCUGAUGGAGGGGGAUAACUACUGGAAACGGUAGCUAAUACCGCAUAACGUCGCAAGACCAAAGUGGGGGACCUUCGGGCCUCAUGCCAUCAGAUGUGCCCAGAUGGGAUUAGCUAGUAGGUGGGGUAACGGCUCACCUAGGCGACGAUCCCUAGCUGGUCUGAGAGGAUGACCAGCCACACUGGAACUGAGACACGGUCCAGACUCCUACGGGAGGCAGCAGUGGGGAAUAUUGCACAAUGGGCGCAAGCCUGAUGCAGCCAUGCCGCGUGUGUGAAGAAGGCCUUCGGGUUGUAAAGCACUUUCAGCGGGGAGGAAGGCGAUAAGGUUAAUAACCUUGUCGAUUGACGUUACCCGCAGAAGAAGCACCGGCUAACUCCGUGCCAGCAGCCGCGGUAAUACGGAGGGUGCAAGCGUUAAUCGGAAUUACUGGGCGUAAAGCGCACGCAGGCGGUCUGUCAAGUCGGAUGUGAAAUCCCCGGGCUUAACCUGGGAACUGCAUUCGAAACUGGCAGGCUAGAGUCUUGUAGAGGGGGGUAGAAUUCCAGGUGUAGCGGUGAAAUGCGUAGAGAUCUGGAGGAAUACCGGUGGCGAAGGCGGCCCCCUGGACAAAGACUGACGCUC